AAAAUAAAAAAAGGUUGAUAAUAAAUAAUAACAAAACGCCUCAGUUUACUAAUCAAUCUUGUAACACUGAUGAGGCAAGGACAUAUUAGAUUAAAACGUAGUUAUUUGUGCUGGUCACAUUAUCUAUUUGUCGCUCGGGCAGCUGCAAUGUAUUACUUAUGAGAAGGGACGGCAAAAGUCGUCGUAAUUUCGAUACAUCGAAAUAUCGAUAUUGCCAGUUUACGUCAUCGAUAACGAUACAUCGACUGAAAAUAACGCCUGAUACGAUUAAAAUUAUCAUAUUACGUUUGUCAUUUAGACCAACUAUUCCCAACCGUAGUAAUAAUUGCUCAAUGUUUCCAGCCAAUUUGCCGCGGACGCUGGUCGUGGAUAUAUGCCAAGGGUUGGCAAAAUCUAUAUUAUUUAUACAUUAUAUUAUUAUACUAUAAACGUCUAUAUUUCGAUCGAGAUUUAGUAAUAAUCUGACAAUUAUCGCUAUAGCGCAAUUUUAUUGAUUGUCGUUUUCUUAUCAAGUAUUCUGGAAUACUAAAGACACAUUGUGGCUGUCAAAUUCAGAUGCAAUACAAGUGUAGGUACACACAUUUGAACAUUUCUAAUAUUUGAUUCUUUUCCCAAAACGCAAUUUAAAUAUACAAGCAGUGAUAAAAUUCUAGGUAGGUACCCACGUCUUGUCUUGUGACAACGAUUCGUCGGUUUAACAUCUUUAACUGUGCUCGUGACGAGAUUUUAUAUUUUCAGAUUUUACAUCGAUAAUAUAUUUUUGUUGGUUGAGUUAAAAUGUUAUCGCGAUGCAAAAAAAUUCGUAAUCAUUUUUAAAACAAUGAGGCUUUAUAAAAUAGAGUACUGAUGGUAAACUGGCAUCUUAAAAACAUAUGAUAAACGACUUGGCCAAUGAAUAUUGGGCAAUAUUGAAAUGAUUAGGGGAAAUUAAUAUUGUACAAAAUAUUGACACAAUAUUUCAUUAUUAUUGAUCGUGUAGGGGCCGCUUUACUCUCAUAAUGUAAAUAAAAAUGACAACAGGUAAAAGUUUAAGAUAUAUUUUUACGUGUCACACAAAUCACGUAGGUAUUGCGAUACGCAAGUGUGGUACAAUUCGUACAAGUUAAUUAUCUUACAUUGCACCAUACACGAUGCAGAACAACUUUACAUAGCACAUAAACUAGUUAAAGAUUGUGGAUGAAUAUUCUAGCAUGAUUGAAUAUUUGAACGACUCUAUCCGCGAAUUUACCGCCGCACGUUGGCCACACUGGCCGUGAUCAAUC